UGGGUAGUCCGCACGAGCGCACCCUAUGAUUAGUUGCCAGCGAGUAAUGUCGGGGACUCUAGUCAGACUGCCUGUAUUAAACAGGAGGAAGGUGGGGACGACGUCAAGUCAGUAUGGCCCUUACGCCCAGGGCUGCACACGUACUACAAUGCCCAGUACAAUGUGAACCGAUACCGUAAGGUGGAGGAAAUCCUGAAAACUGGGCUCAGUUCGGAUUGAGGGCUGCAACUCGCCCUCAUGAAGCUGGAAUCGCUAGUAAUGGCACAUCAGCUACGGUGCCGUGAAUACGUUCCCGGGUCUUGUACACACCGCCCGUCACAUCAUGGAAGCCGCUCGCAGACGAAAGACUCUAAUACGAGAUGUAAUACUCUGUAGGUGGUAACUGGGAUGAAGUCGUAACAAGGUAGCCGUAGGGGAACCUGCGGCUGGAACACCUCCUUUCU
rnacentral:rRNA from 1 species